rnacentral:rRNA from 1 species
GGGUCUACCCAUUGGUCAGACUUAAUUGUCUGCACUGGUGAGAUGGAUCUCUACCUUCUGAGGAACUUUCAUGCCAUUAAUUUGGUGCGCCGGGGAAGCAGGACUGUUACCUUGAAAAAAUUAGAGUGCUUAAAGCAGGCUAUCGCCUGAAUACAUUAGCAUGGAAUAAUGAAAUAGGACGGCAUGGUUCUAUUUUGUCGGUUUCUAGGAUCACCGUA